AGAGUCUUAGACUCAGUAUUUACCCGAUAAAGCUGUCGGUACGCCGACAAAUGUCAGACCUUAUAAAAGAAAGAAAAGGCUACUGUAAGAACAUGGAUGAGAUAUUUGUAGAAUGUAUAAAAAUAUUUCAUGUAUAGAAUAUGAACUAAAAGUAUGAUCACUGCGAUUAUGUGAUGACAUGAUUAGACUAUGUGCUGACUGUAAUAGACAGUACUAUGUGUUAUGAUAUAUUGUUCUAAUCGAACGAAUGAUCUGAUUAUUGAUAGGUUGUGAUAAAGAGAUAUAACCUAAGUUGAGAUUUGUAAUCAGCAAAUCAGGCAAGUAUCUUACCUUUGCAUUUUCUUUAUGCAAUGGACAUGAGUAAGAAGUUUCAGGAUUCUUCUAUUCCUGUACAGAUUAUGUACGCUUUGAUUAUCAACAUGUUAGCUCAGAUAUAUAUUCUGUUAAGUUUAUUUAUAAAUGGUUAUACAAGUGUCCCCACUUGGAUAAUCAUGGCAUUUAUUCACAUGUUGAUACACUUUUUCAAUUACCUCGUAUACAUAUAUGUUGAAUUACAUAUUAUUGUUGAGCAAGAUUAAAAACCUUCGGGUUUGGAACCAGGCAUGUAUGAACAUCCCGAUAAUGGGAAAAUUUUUAUGCGCUUCGGCGGACAAAGGGUGAGCGAUGAAUUUCGUUCAAGUUAUGUAGUAUUGAUCAAUACAGGGUACAACGGGGCUGAUCACCCUCCGUGCCCGUAAGUUAUGACGGUUUGCGGAUGAAUUUCUGCUAAACCUUUUCGAAAAUGAAAAACAAUGUUCAUAGUAUGUUUCUUAAACCCUAUUCAUGGGUGGAGCCUAAUUUCAAGAAAUUGAAAGAGAGUUGUUAUGUGAAUCUUUUAUCAGUACAGAUUACUUCACAACUUUUGAUUCGUUGUAGAAGUGUUAUGUAAAGAGAAUACUUAUAUUCUUUCAGCUUAUAUAUAUAAUUGCUAUUACUUGCUGGGCACUCAAAUGCUCAUCCUUGCUUAAAUUAAAUGUUUUCAGUUAUGUAUGAGCAACCUGAAGGCUCAGGCACGAACAAAGGAAAAGGAAAGCUGAUCGAAUAAGUGUGUAUUAUGAGUUAAUGGUUAUAGUUGUAUUGGUAUCUAUUCAAGUAUUGUAAGGAAUGUAUUUGAAGGUCACGUACCUGGGGAAGUAAACUUUGAUGUAUGUAAAUUAAGUUCGAAUGUAUUAUUAUUUAGUAUUAUUCAGCUUAAAGAAAUGGUAUCGUGGAGAACCGAGUUCGGGUUUCAAGUACCUGGAUUUGGGGUCGUCACAGGUUGGUAUCAAAGCUGUUGGUUAUGAAGCUUAGGUAGGAAUACCUGAGACUAAUAACCGCAAUGAUUAGGAUAAGUAUUAACUCAUAUAGAGUUAGUUGGUCGAUAAGAUUCAAAGAUGAAUCUCGGCGAGUGUAAAGACACAGAGUUCCCUAACUCUGAUUAUAAAGUUAAACAGUAGUGGGGAAUAGAUUGAGUCUAAAAGACUGAAAGUGCAGUUAUGAGAGAUCGUAAAAUAAAACGAUCAAGAUAUAGAACUAAAUCGUAAUAUAUACGAUGAGAUCACCCCGUGAUCUGAUAAGGCUAUGACAGCCAGAAGGAAUCAAUCUGAUGAUUGGAAAGUUUACAGCAAGAUUGCUGUGUAUGAAUUGUACUAUCAAUUGGUACAGAUCCAGAAGAGAAUUAUAAAUACGAAUUAAAUUCGUAUGGAGAAUGGGGUUAGUGUUAGAUGGGGAUUCAAUUGAGGACUCAUGUCGGCAGCUGAGUUGUAUGAUUCUUCGUAUGGGAGCUGAAUUGUACUUGGUGUAAAAACCACUUAGUUUCUGGCACUGAUAAUCAUUGAAAUGUCUGUGUCGCGCUAUUUGUUAUAUGCACAUUAAGAGGAUGACUCCAUUCUCAGGUGUAUAACAGGUAGAUAGGUCAUAGAUAGAGAAUAUAAGAUUAAGUUCGAGUUCUUAAAACUCAUACCUAUGAGACAUUCUUGACUCAUAAUUAUAUGAAAUGUUUAUGAACCCCUCAGCGAAUGGACGCCAAAGGUCUGACUAGGAUAAGUUCUUAAACUCAUAUGAUUGUGGCAAUUUAUGAACUCAUAAGUGUGGUUUGAUGAACUGGGUAUAGUUUUGUGUGAAUGGAGUGUUAUGGAUUACAGGAACAGAUAGAUUGUUAAGUAAAUGAUUUUUAGUGAAGGUGUUAGGUUUUCCUAAACUCCUAGCUAUGCUAAACUUCAAAAUUUUUGACAUCAAGCUAAAUACGCACUAUGUGCUUUUGAAAACAAAAAUGUAGACUCGUAAUCAUUUUUGAAACGGUUUAAAGUACGGUCUAUGCUACUUAUUUUGGCUAGACGCAAAUGAUUUGAAAUAUCAAAAUUUGUUUUUAAUUAUCACUCAUGUACCAUGUAACCUGGUGCAGAGAUGAUAAAAAUGUGAUGGAGUUGUAAAUACAGGAAUACUUAGUGUGAAUUUGACCUGAAGUCGCUGUUCCACUAUUGUAUGAUGUGUUAUGACAAAGUCAUACAAUGACGGCAUCCUCAACGGAUUGUUAAUACAGUACGGCAUCAUGACGUCAUUCUCGAAAAUGUUUUCAAAAAGUUUAAUUUGCCAACGGGGUUUGGCUACAUCUAAAUAAUUCGAUUGAAUUGAAUUAUUGAUAUGAGUCUAUGCUAUUUGAAUCAGCUAGACUAAUGUUUAUGAAAACUCUAAGUGUUCAUUGAAAGAAAUUUCCCGAACCAAAUUGUUUGGUGCGGAAUCCUAUGAUAAGACUGAGGUGAACAAUGUUGUUUGGAUAAAUGAUCCAAUCUAAUGGCGUAAAUAUUCGCUAGGUAUGAUUAAUACGUUAUGCAUGACGUAGGGGUACAAUAGGCUAAUCACCUAAAGUACUAUUAAUGGUAGUUUACCUUCUUUGUGAUUGUAAACAUACCAGGUAAUGUUUUGUUUUGCGGUAUGAAUACCGUUAAAACUAUGUGUUCAUGGUCUAUAUGACCCCUCAGCACAAUUUGAAAACUUUUACUCUUGUGAGAGGUGUAUUGGGUAGCAUGUGAUGAUAUGUGUGAAUGUUGUAAGCACAGAUAGAGUUAGCCGAGUUAUGAGGGAGGUUGGAGCAGAGGGAGAUAUUCAGAUAAGACAGUUGAAGGUUGAAAUAGAAGCCAAAGACACCAGAUAUAUACCUUGGACCAGGCUUUAGUCAUCACCUUCAUGCGAUUCGAUGCAGAGUGGAUGGAGCUGCCUUUCGGCAGAGAUAGGCGUUGAUGAGAAUUGAAUAAAUUUAUCGUCAAUCAAAAUAAGAGACAACGUAUAUAGAACUCUUGAUUGCUGUGUAUAUAUACUAUAUGUUAAUCAGGGUAACUUAUGUAUGUAGAUGUCUGGUGAGAAAGAUAUGUGGAAUAAGAAGGAUCAUAUUCACACCCCGAGCUAAUAUCGAGGCCAACAGAUGAAAUAGAAGCUCACUAGGAACCCAAAUCGGACGAGGUGGCUAUCGUGGAAAAACGUAGCAUCAGAUCCAGAAAUGUUGGAUUUGACAGAUAGUGAUUCAGACACUAAAGUUGAAGCUGCUCAAGCAUCAACGGAGGUGCAGGAUUUGGAGAACAAGGUUUCUUCAUUGGAAAGGUUGUGGGAGAUAGAAAAGUUGAUGCGUCAGGCGUUAAUGGAAACAAUGGAAGAGCAGGAUAAGCUCAAAAUCCAAAUUGACCAGAUGGAGCCUCAAGCGACACAUCCGUGAAGGACACACCUCUCCUCGUUGCCCCGACUAUAAGAAAGGUGGAUGUUUUAAUUGUGGGAUGGAAGGACAUCGAGCGAAUGAAUGUCCGAGAAAAAGGCUUGGUAAAUAAGUAGUAUGGGUUAUGUAUGUAAUAUGUGUGAUAAGUAAUGAACUAUUUUUAACUUUUAUGUUGGUUAAGAUUUUAAAUCCCGACUUUCGUAGUCACAAAGGGAUAGCUGUUGAUUAAAGCAGGAUGUGCUGUGUAAAUAUUCGAUAAAUGAAUAUGAAUCUAAGUUUGAGAAAUGAAACGAGUUUAAUACAUUAAUCUUAUGCAAUAAGGUUUAAAAUGUAAGGGUAUAAUUUAUGGUUUUAUUUAACCAGAUAAUGCCGCCAAGACGUCAAACUCGAAACCAAAGGAUAGAAGAAUCUACUAAUGCUGGGGAACGACAGCCAGAACUGAUGCAAAACUUUGCAAACAUGGUAGCUCAGGCUAUGCAGCAGGGAACACCAGUUGCGGGAAACCAGCCAGACAAUCGCUUGGCAAAAUUCAAAGACUUCAAAGCCGUAGGACCACCAGAAUUCAGAGGAUCAGCUGACCCUAUAGAAGCCCAGACUUGGGUGAACGAGAUAGAGAAGGCGUUCGUAAUCGCUAAAGUAGAUGAGGGGCAAAAGACCGCUUUUGCCACUUAUAUGAUGAAAGGGGAAGCUAACUUUUGGUGGGAGGCAAAUAAGACUCGGGCAGGAGAAGGAGAAAUUACUUAGGAUAGGUUUAAGGAUUUAUUUUUCGAGAACUAUCUCUUUGUUAGUAUGCAGUCUAGAAUGGAGGUGAAAUUCCUGGAGUUAAAACAGGAGAAAAUGACUGUUGCGGAGUAUGCCGCAAAGUUUAAUGAGUUGGCUAGGUUUGCUCCACAUCUAGUGAGCAUAGAAGCUAGAAAGGCAAGGAGGUUUGAGUUGGGCUUAAAACCCUGGCUCUACAAUAAGGUGGCAGUACUGCAAAUAAAUAAUUUUGCAACACUCAUGGAGGAGGCUAUCAUAACUGAACAGGGGAGUGAGGCCAUGAGCCUCUACCACAAGGAGAAGAAGAACAAAAGCAAGUCAGGAGGAGCAAUGAAGAUGGAAAGUAGUAGCGAGAAUAGGGGUGAGAAGAGAAUGAGGAAUUUUUCUGAGAGUGUGCAAGUGAAGCAGGAAGGUGCAAAGAAGCAUGUAGUGCAGUGCAAGAACUGCGGGAAGAACCACUCUGGCGAGUGUCUGAAGGGUAAGUACGUGUGCUAUAAGUGCGGGCAAGAGGGUCAUAUCUCUCCCAACUGCCCCAACUCAAAGAUGAUCAGUGGAUACUUCAUAUGCGGAUCGACUGAGCAUCAGGUGAGGAACUGUCCAAAGAGGGCAAUGGAGGCAGGAAACGUAACCACGGGGAGAAGCAGUGGGACGUUAACAAUUUUAGGACUAAACUCAACCAGUAACCCAACGAAAGCAACUCCGAGGGUCUACAAUAUGACGGUUUAGGAUACGGUGGCAGCUGGAGACAGAACUCCAGGUGCUAUUUGAAUCAUUUAUAUAUCUUCCUGCAUAUAUAGUAGAUUAUUAUUUUUUUUAAAAAAAUUUUGAGUUCUUUUAGAAAUCAAAUUUCCGCCUAAUCAGAGUAUUGUGAAGACUAGUUAAAGAUCAGUUCGAUCAGGUAUGAUCGAGGUCUACAUACAAUGAUUAUAUGCUAUGUACCCUUCUACAUAUGAGUUUUUAAAGCGGUGAUUCCGGGGACGGAAUCCUUAUAAGGGAGGGUGAAUGUAAUAACCCGAGAUUUCCUAUAUAAAAUAAAUAAGAAAUUUUGCGUAUAAAUUUUUUUUUAUUUAAUGACGAGAAUAAGUGUCUAGUAAUGUGAACGAUAGAUACAAAUAUAUUUAUUACUUGAAAAAUUAAAAAUAAUUUUGGAGUAAUUAAUUACCACAAAUUAUAUUGUCAUGGUAAUUAAUUCCUGUAAGCCGAAAUGUUUUUAUUGAUUAUUUUCCAUGAAAACAUGAUUGGAAAUAAUAUAUGAAGUGACAAUUAGAUUUAUAUAAUAAAUAUUUUAUUAUAUGAAUUGUUCAGAAUAUUAAAGUUAAUUAUUUUAACUUGAUUAUUGAUGUUGUGUAAGAAAGAGAAGUCAGAUAUGAGAUCCAAACCCUGAAUUGUGAUUGUGAUCAAGAGAUGAGAAUAAUAUUAUUAUAUUAUUGUUAUAAUGAUUUUACAGUACAAUAAUUAUGUACUGUGUAUGUGCGUAUAGAUAAUUUUGAGCAAUGACGGUCAAUUAGGUCAUAGCAUAUUACCGUGCUGUGAAACCCUAAUUAUUAAACUCAGUUAUGAGAAAUGACUGAGUGGUGACUGUGUAUAUGAAGUUUACUAUGUAUAUGAAGUUACUGUGUACAAGAAUGUCGGUAACUAGAAGGAAACCCUAAUUACUGUUGUACGUCGAUAAUUAGGACAAACCCUAAUUAUUAUAACCUUAAUCGGUUGAAGUUAUAGAUCGUAAUGACUGUGUUAGUAACAUACACAGAUAAUUAGAGAACCCUAAUUGAUGGCGUUAAGAAACCCUAAUUAUAGAACCCUAAAUUUUAAAUCGAAAACCCUAAUUUUAAAUUACCAGGUUAAAUUACGAUGUUAAUGAACAAGUAUUUUAAUUUAUCAAAGAUAGAAAGUAAUUGGUAAAUGAUAAGAAUUACCAUCUAGUGAUUAAAUAUUACAUUUAAUUGCCUUGUACAAAAAUGCCCUUGAAAUUAUAUGAGAAAUUACCAAAAUACCCUUUUAGUGUAUUAUUAGUUGCAUUAUUGUGCAUUAUUAGUUGCAUUGUUAGUAGAAUCUUACAAAUGACCAGCCAACCACCUUACCCUACUGAUGUAACAUUUAUGCAACACAUUUCUCAACUAUUACAAACACAUGGUAGCAAUUCAUUGCAUUAUUUAAGAGAGAAAGUCCUCAUUACACACUAAAAUUUUCCAAAGUCUCAUCCUAUACUCUCCCAACCUCUUACCAACGAAUUUCUCUUGCCCAUACACUCAUAAUCAAAGCCCAGCAACCACAAACAACAAAUCAGAAGCAUCAAAGUCAGAAAUCAAGAAAUCAAAGUAAGAAAAGGUAUGAAAUCCCAAAAAUUAGAAAUCCUUCGACUCGAUGUUAAUUGAUGCAAUUGAUUGUUUAAAGUUGUUUAAUAGGGAGUCUAUUAAUGUUCUGGGUUGUAAAAACACAGACCCAUAACAUCAAAGUACACGAAUUUGAAGAUUUGAGAAAUCUGGAAAAUUUCAUUUCUGUGAUUUUUUGUCAAAUGUCAGAGCUUAUAUAUCUUUUCUUGAUCAUGAGUUUUGUUGUUUAAAAGUUGUUAUAUGUAGCCUGAUAUGUGGUCUUUAAUAUGAAAAACGAAUCAAGUUCAUAGAUAUUGUAGAUCAGGAUUUAUAAGCGGUCAAAAUGGGUUGACCGGCAUUGACCGGCUGUUCUUCAAACCCAGAAAAUAUUCUAAGUGUCCAGAAAAUAUUUUUUUGGCAAAUGUCAGGCCUUAUAUCUCGGUUAUCUUUAAUGUGUUUUGUGUUCUAAAGGUUGUUAUGUGUAGCGUGUUAUGUGGUAUUUAACCUCCAAAAAGAAUCAGGUCCAUAUAUAUUAUGGAUUAAGAGUUAUUUAAGGUCAAAGUGGGUUGACCGGCAUUGACCGGAAAAUUCUGGGCAGCCCAGAAUUUUCUAAGUGUUGAUUUUUCUGACAAGGUUUGACCAUACUUUAGCUGCUUGAUUUCUUGUUGUUAUGAUGAUGUUAAGUGUUAAAGUUGUAGUCCUAUAUGUUGUCUACACACUGGAGUUGAUAGAUCACAUAAACGUUACACGAUCGUCAAGUUAUAGAGGCCCAAAGUAGGCAUCACGAACUGUUCUUCACGAAGAACAGCUCUGACAGCUAUUUUGAUGGCUAAUUUCUCCCAGAUCUGAUGUUGUUUAGAAGUAAUGAUUGUUGGUUAUUGUAUUCCGGUAUUUCCUCUACAAGAUCCAAGUCAUAGAUGUCCCAGAUUCGUUAAGAGCACAAAGUUAUUCACGGUCAAAGUAGUCCCCUCACACGCUGCUCUGACAGUGUUCUUGAGAUGAAGAACACCUAUAGCGACGGUUCUGUCACUAUAGGCCCCUUUGGCGACAGAUUUGAAUUAUUUUAAAUUUUUCAAUUUCUGGAAAUUCCGAAAAUGAUUUAAAAAUUAGAAAAAUUAGAUUUUAAAUUCUGAAAAAUUAUUUUAAAGUCUGAAAAAUAAUAUUUAAUUAUUUUGAGUAUAUUUCAUAAAUAUUUAAUAUUUUUGGAAUAUAAAAGGUAUUUAUUUAUUUAAUUAUAAUAUUAAAUAAAUGAUUUAAAAAUAGUUUUAAUUCAUGAAAAAUCAUGAAAAAUUAUUUUAUGGUAUAAGAAAAUAUUUUAAGUUAUUUUCCAUGACUUUUAAUAUUUUGUGAUGAAUUUCAUUAAUUAAUUAUAUAUUAAUGAUAUUAAAGUUAUUUAAUGAUUAUAUUAAAUAAUUUAGUUUAAAAAUGAUUUUAAUAUUAUAAAAAUCAUUUUAAAUGAAAUUAAGGUAUUUAAAAAUAUUUUAAGUUAUAAAAUAUAACUUUUAAUAUUUAAAGGAUAAUUUCAUUAAUAAUUUAAUAUUAAUGAUAUUAAGAUAAUAUUAAUGAUAUUUAGUUUAUUUAAUAAUUAUUAUUAAAUAAAUAGUUUAAAAAUGGUUUUAUUUAUUUAAAAAUCAUUUAAAGAGGAUAUUAAGGAUUUAAAAAUAUUUUAAGUUAUAAUUAAUGACUUUUAAUAUUUGGAUGAAUAGUACAUUAAUAUUUAUAUAUUAAUGGUGAUUAUUUAAAAAUGAUUUUAAUUGUUUUAAAAAUCAUUUAAGGGUAAUAUAAAUGUUUUAAAAAUAGUUUGAGUUAUUAUAAAUAACUUUUAUAUUUUGGCAAUGGUUUCAUUAAUAGUUUAAUAUAAAUUAAUUAUUAAUGAUAAUGGAAUUGUUUAAUGUUUAAAUCAUUUAAUUAUGAUUCCGAUGUUUGAAAGUUAUAGCCGGCCAAACUAGCUGACUUGAGAACCGAUUAUGAAGUUAUGAAGUUUUGAGGAACACCUAUAGUAACAGUUAUAUCACUAUAGGCCCGGUAGUGACAGAUUUGAAUUAUUUUAAAUUUUUCAAUUUCUGGAAAAUUCGAAAAUGAUUAAAAAUAAAAUGUUUGAUAUUUACAGAUGUUGAGGUAUAGGAUAAGAGUCUUAGACUCAGUAUUUACCCGAUAAAGCUGUCGGUACGCCGACAAAUGUCAGACCCUAUAAUAGAAAGAAAAGGCUUCUGUAAGAGCAUGGAUGAGAUAUUUGAAAAAUGUAUAAAAAUAUUUCAAGUAUAGAAUAUGAACUAAAAGUAUGAUCACUGCGAUUAUGUGAUGACGUGAUUAGACUAUGUGCUGACUGUAAUAGACAGUACUAUGUGUUAUGAUAUAUUGUUCUAAUCGAACGAAUGAUCUGAUUAUUGAUAGGUUGUGAUAAAGAGAUAAAACCUAAGUUGAGAUUUGUAAUCAGCGAAUCAGGCAAGUAUCUUACCUUUGCAUUUCCUUUAUGCAAUGGACAUGAG
rnacentral:lncRNA from 1 species